rnacentral:lncRNA from 1 species
GUGGAAUCAGUAUUAGUAGCUGUAACAGUGCAUUCCACCCUACAGGUUAUUUGGGAAACCAGAUGGACCCAGGCUAAAAUCAUCUGUAUUUCCAACAUGUGAAAAAUUAUGUCAGAGUGGACACAUGAAAAGGAGCGUGCUGUAUGUUUUGUGUGUGUUUAUCACAUGAGCUUCUGAACCUCAUCUGUCCUGGAUCUUUAAUCAGUUGUCCCAGCCCCAAUACGAGGGUUAAAGGACAAGAAGACCCCCAGGGCAUCCAGGGUCCCAUUGAUUUUCAGUAUUUCAUGAUGCUCAUGCACGUGGUGAUGAAGGAUCAGGAUCAGAAAGGCUGGUUCCCUUUGGAGGAUGAGGUGUGCACUCAUUCACGUGUGUCCUCGCAUGCACCUGGCACCAGAGAGCAGCCUGCUAACCUGAGGAGAUGGACAGCCCCGGGAUGCCGUAGCCCAUUCCGACCUGUGAUUUAUGAGGAGAGCUGGGAGACCCUCAGAGACGAAAGCCCAGUGAGAUAGUUGCCUCAGUGUCGACCGUGGACGGGACCUUCUGCUGGGAUUGCUGCCUCAGAGCAGAGCAUUUUGCAUGGGGGUGCAGAGCCCCGUGGCCCCAGCGCUCUCCUAAAACCCUGUGCGCGUGGCAGGGGCUCAGGGGUGGCAGCGCCGUGGCCCUCGUCAGCAAAGGACGUGGUCUGGAGCCCGCCAGCCCCUGGCUUCGCUGGGGGAGCAAGGAGGGGACGGGUUGAAGGUCCUGGCCGUCCCUUUGGGGACCAACUCUGGUCCCGGCUGAGCCGUGAAGCAGCCCUGGGCGCUGGCCGAAAAGCCCCGGUGGAGGCAUGCAAACACCAAAGCCGCUGCGGCUCCUCGCUCCGAGGCCCCAGGCGCUGUCUCGGCCCUGGCYGCAGCUGCGGGGCGCCGAGGGGAGAGCCGGGCUCGGCGUUUGCCGUCCCAGCCGCCCACCCGUCCGCUCGGCCCGGUGCUGCAGGGUGCAGCAGCUGGUGAGAGGAGAGAUAAAUGAGACAAAGCGGCAGCAGCUUUUGCAAUAAACUCAACUCAACUAUGCGAUUGAACUGGAAA